CCUACGGGAGGCAGCAGUGGGGAAUAUUGCACAAUGGGGGGAACCCUGAUGCAGCAACGCCGCGUGGGUGAAGAAGUACUCCGGUAUGUAAAGCUCUGUCAGCAGGGAAGAAAAUGACGGUACCUGACUAAGAAGCCCCGGCUAACUACGUGCCAGCAGCCGCGGUAAUACGUAGGGGGCAAGCGUUAUCCGGAUUUAUUGGGUGUAAAGGGUGCGUAGACGGUUAGGUAAGUCUGGAGUGAAAUCCCGUGGCUCAACCACGGGACUGCUUGGGAUACUGUGUGGCUAGAGUGCAGUUGGGGUAAGCGGAAUGCAUGGUGUAGCGGUGAAAUGCAUAGAGAUUAUAAAGAACACCGGUUGCGAAGGCAGCUUACUAGACUAUGACUGACGUUGAGGCACGAAAGCGUGGGGAGCAAACAGGAUUAGAUACCCGUGUAGUC
rnacentral:rRNA from 1 species